rnacentral:rRNA from 1 species
GAUGAACGCUGGCGGCGUGCCUAAUACAUGCAAGUAGAACGCUGAAGGAGGAGCUUGCUCUUCUGGAUGAGUUGCGAACGGGUGAGUAACGCGUAGGUAACCUGCCUGGUAGCGGGGGAUAACUAUUGGAAACGAUAGCUAAUACCGCAUGACAACAGUUAUUGCAUGAUAACUGUUUAAAAGGGGCAACUGCUCCACUACCAGAUGGACCUGCGUUGUAUUAGCUAGUUGGUGAGGUAACGGCUCACCAAGGCGACGAUACAUAGCCGACCUGAGAGGGUGAUCGGCCACACUGGGACUGAGACACGGCCCAGACUCCUACGGGAGGCAGCAGUAGGGAAUCUUCGGCAAUGGACGGAAGUCUGACCGAGCAAAGCCGCGUGAGUGAAGAAGGGUUUCGGAUCGUAAAGCUCGGUUGUAAGAGAAGAACGAGUGUGAGAGUGGAAAGUUCACACUGUGACGGUAUCUUACCAGGAAGGGACGGUUAACUACGUG